rnacentral:lncRNA from 1 species
GGGCUUGGGAAGAAUCUUAAUAUUCGGACCAUAAUAAUUCCACCAACUGUAGAACCAAAAUGGGAAAGAAGAAAGCUGAUUUUUAGAUGGAAAAUAGAACAUCCAUGAAUGAUGGAAGUCCCUAUUCUGGAUCAGAAAAACAUUAAACCAUGCUCUCUGAUAAUCCCAAUAAUUAAAAAACCUUGGCUUUGAUGGUUCAGAAAAUUCCCUUGAAAGAUUAGGAUUUCCUCCCCAUUGCUUGACAGUAAGAAUCUUAUAGAUAUGGCAGGUGGAGAAUGCCAAACCCAUAUUGCUGAAUUUGUCUGCAUGAUACUUAAUUUUAACAGAACCAGUUUCUGUAAGGACUGCUUCAUAAAACUCUCUUGUUCUUAAAAUAUCACCAGAGGGAUAAUGAAAAUUUUCUUGAAAAGAUUUUGCAGCAAUUUCUCUG